GCAUGAUAUUUUUAUUAAAGAAUUUCGGUUAUCGAUGGGGAUGCGUUCCAUUAGUUUGUUGGCGGGUUAACGGCCCACCAAGACUACAAUGGAUAGGGGUUCUGAGAGGAAGGUCCCCCACAUUGGAACUGAGACACGGUCCAAACUCCUACGGGAGGCAGCAGUGAGGAAUAUUGGUCAAUGGGCGAGAGCCUGAACCAGCCAAGUAGCGUGAAGGAUGAAGGCUCUAUGGGUCGUAAACUUCUUUUAUAUGGGAAUAAAGUUUUCCACGUGUGGAAUUUUGUAUGUACCAUAUGAAUAAGGAUCGGCUAACUCCGUGCCAGCAGCCGCGGUAAUACGGAGGAUCCGAGCGUUAUCCGGAUUUAUUGGGUUUAAAGGGAGCGUAGGUGGAUUGUUAAGUCAGUUGUGAAAGUUUGCGGCUCAACCGUAAAAUUGCAGUUGAAACUGGCAGUCUUGAGUACAGUAGAGGUGGGCGGAAUUCGUGGUGUAGCGGUGAAAUGCUUAGAUAUCACGAAGAACUCCGAUUGCGAAGGCAGCUCACUAGACUGUUACUGACACUGAUGCUCGAAAGUGUGGGUAUCAAACAGGAUUAGAUACCCUGGUAGUCCACACAGUAAACGAUGAAUACUCGCUGUUUGCGAUAUACAGUAAGCGGCC
rnacentral:rRNA from 1 species